rnacentral:rRNA from 1 species
CCUACGUGAGGCUGCAGUGAGGAAUAUUGGUCAAUGGGCGCGAGCCUGAACCAGCCAAGUAGCGUGAAGGAUGACUGCCCUACGGGUUGUAAACUUCUUUUAUAAAGGAAUAAAGUGAGGCACGUGUGCCUUUUUGUAUGUACUUUAUGAAUAAGGAUAGGCUAACUCCGUGCCAGCAGCCGCGGUAAUAUGGAGGAUCCGAGCGUUAUCCGGAUUUAUUGGGUUUAAAGGGAGCGUAGAUGGGUUGUUAAGUCAGUUGUGAAAGUUUGCGGCUCAACCGUAAAAUUGCAAUUGAUACUGGCAGUCUUGAGUACAGUUGAGGGAGGCGGAAUUCGUGGUGUAGCGGUGAAAUGCUUAGAUAUCACGAAGAACUCCGAUUGCGAAGGCAGCUUACUAAACUGCCACUGACAUUGAUGCUCGAAAGUGUGGGUAUCAAACAGGAUUAGAUACCCCAGUAGUC